UUUGUUUUGGGUCUUUUGUGCUGGUGUUUUGUGGGGAUUUAUUAUUCUUUUCUUUGCAUUAAGAAGAUUAUUUAAGUUUAAGCUUUGUACAGUUUAGUUAUUUAAGUGUCUCUGAGUUUAUCUGUUUCUGGUCAGGGAUUCUUGUUUGUUCCUUUUGUGUCUUUGUUUCUCUCUCUGUUUGUUUGCGUGUGGGUAACAGCGCAGUGAGUGUUCAGAGGCGGGGAUGUCUUGGUCCCCGCCCUCCAGCUCGGCACACCUGUGACAAUCAACUCACCUGCUCCUCGUCUGAUGAUUAGAGUGUGUCCUGUUUUCCUCAAUGAUGAUUUGUGAGUGUGAGUUGGAGAGAGAAGUCUGUUUCGCUAUCGAGUCUAAAGAUGGAGUGGAACCCAUCGGACCAUCGGCUUGGAUACUUUACAUAGAGACUGUAAAUCUUCCCUUUUUUGCGUCACUGUAAAUAAAUUCAGCAAACUACAAUCUCA